GCCGGGUUAGCUCAGCUGGCAGAGCGCUAGAUUUGUAAUCUUGAGGUCGCGAGUUCGAUUCUCGCACCCGGCUCCA
rnacentral:tRNA from 1 species